UGAUGAGAAAUCUCCGGAAUCGCUGUACCACAUUGAUGAUUCCCUUGAACCCUUCUAUAUCUGAUGACUGCUGUCAUUCCGC
rfam:Pelecanus crispus contig44942, whole genome shotgun sequence.